GGCUCAAUGGUCUAGUAGUAUGAUUCCUGCUUCGGGCGCUUUGUCCCUCGCUCCGCGCGAGAAACUGCAGGAGGUCUCGGGUUCAAUUCCCGAUUGAGCCC